UCUCCGGUGGCUUAAUGGUUAGAGCAUCCGCCUCGAAUGCGGGAGGACGUCUGUUCGAUCCCCGGUUGAU